CGACUUCCUUGUCUACCUGCCUGCUGCCCAAGGCCGGCCACGCUGCUGCUCCCCGUCUUCUGCUGCGUUCUGCCUGGGACCUUCGAACACCGUGCAACGGGACCGCUGCUGGAUCCUGCUGCUUUGAUUGUAGGACUCAGUAACCUUCCCAGAUACAACAAAUGCACAGCACAAAAUGAACUGAAGAAGGUGCUUUUUUCACAAUCUUGGAAGAGUACUUAGAUCAUUAUAACACCAUAUGUUUGAGGAAAUAAGGAUUCCUUCAAUCUUAGAACAGAGUAAUGCUCCUGUCACAUCCUGCUUGUAAGGGGAGAGAAGGGAUGACCAGCUCCAGCAUUCUAUAUCUUUGCACGUGAUGACUUGCAAUUGAAAUCAUUCUGUACUAUGCAUGCAUCACCUAGAAUUGCAAUAAGUUUUUAAGACACCAUUGAAAUAGUAGGAGGAUGAUUCUCAUUUAAACUACGUGGAUUAGGAGCUGCUGAUUCAAAUAAUGACUUAUUCCAAUGUCUGAUGGCACUGAUUUGAUUAAAACCCUCUGCUUUGUGGAGAGACAAGGAGUAUACGCGAUAUUUGACAAUUAUGAGUACAGACUAAUGAAGUUUCAGAUGCUGAGUAAAAUUCGCGAUUUCUUGGAGGUAUCUUUCAUGUUAGGCAGUUCAGUGGAAAUCACUGUUAAAAGGCUGAGAUUCAGACAUCCCCCAUCCAACUGCCACAGUCUCAAUAAAAGGGAAGGGGAAGGAAAUGCUUGCUUUGCAUCCAUCUGCAGCAAUCCCAUGUUGGCUUUCACGUUUCCAUUGGAUCAAAAUUAGGAUUUCGUAAGAACAAUAUUGAAAACAAAGCAUACUAGCUUCUUGACUGCAAUAGACUAGUUUCCUGAAAGAAAGCAAGCAAGAAAGAAAGAAGGAAGGAAAAGAAGCAAGCAAGAAAGCAAGCAAGCUAGUCCCAACUUACACCUUGAAGUCCAAUGGCUUGUAAUGUGAAAUACAGAUUGUACUAAGAAUCUCAGUUGCAUUUGCUAUUUACCAUAUCAGCUAAUUUUUAGACAAAUUCGCUUAUAACCAGGAUUAUUGGUUCACUAUGCAAUAAUUUGAGAUUUUUCCCAAUUUGGACUCAGACCAGCAACUAUUUCUUCCGUUAAGGUGUUCCACUCUUUCAUAGAAUCAUAGAAUAAUAGAAUCAUAGAAUGGCCUGAGUUGAAAAGGACCACAAUUAUCACCUAGUUUCAAACCCCAUGCCAUGAGCAGUGUCACCAACCACUAGACCAGGCUGCCCAGAGCCACAUCUAGCCUGGCCUUGAAUGCUUCCAGGGAUGGGGCAUCCGCAACCUCUCUAGGCAACCUGUUCCGGUGUGUCACCACUUCUGGGUGAAAAAAAUCCUCCUAAUAUCUAAACAUCCCCUGUCUCAGUUUAAGACCUUUCUCCCUAGUCCUAUCA